UCUUUGCACGGAUCCGUUGGCUAGGGAGUUUCGGGGUUUUCGCGAUGCGAAAAAGCGAUUUUCGCGGUCCGAAAAACCCAACAGACUUGUCUCCCUUGAGAUGGGGAAGAUACUUCCUAAAGGGAUCGGGGAAGUUCAAGUAAGGCAUAUUCUGUUACUAUACUAUUUUCCUCAUGUGUCGCAGAGUUCUAACAUAGUUGCCACAUGGAUUUAUAGUAUCAUCAUCAGCUCUAACUGCAUCAUUGUAUGCUAACAAGCAUGUUGUACUCCUUGCCGAGAACUAGUUGACAAUUGCCACUCUUUUGAAUACUCAUUAUACUGAUCUCUCAUAUGUUAGGGAAACUAAGCAUUGGCCUCCGAGCUUAAUCAAUUCCUUGUAGCAUUUCAUCACACUUUCCUAACAAGCUCUAAUAUCUUGCUUGGUUGAUAAAUGGUGAUGCAUUAAGUCUUUUUCAAUGCAGAUGUUAAUGGGUCAGAAACAAAUUUUGUGUAUCACUUCUAAAGGGCAUCAUAUCACAGACAUUGAUAAGAGAAGAGGAGGAAGAAGCACUACUUGAUCAAAAUAUGGAGGAUUAAGAUGUAGAAUAUAGAAAAAUAAAAGUCCAUGGCUGCAUAUAUCAAGAGAGAGGUUUGUUCUACCUUGGUGCAACUUAUAGAAGUUCGACCAUCAUUCCUAGAGUGCCUUUUCAGAUAUUUUGAAGGUGAAUGGAGGUAUUAAAAAACUCGAGCCAAAUAACUCGGGUAUGGAUGAUUACAGGAGCAACAACUACAUGCUAUGUGGCACUGCAUCCGAACCUCAUGGGUGUGACUGGGAAGUACUUCGACGAAGAACUAUCAAGAAGACUUUGAGAUUUAAGUGAAAAGAUGGUUAAAGUCAAUGAGUAAAGAACAUUCAAGUCAAGAGGAUAAGUAGCAUCUAUAAAGAUCCUUUAAGUUCAUGCAAUAAGAUGUAGAUGAUAGAAGUAGUUUUCAGUGUCUCCUAAUUAAAAUUUCUUUGUAUGCAAGUAAUUAUGCUUGUUAUAAAGUGUAUGGAUGAUAAUUUAUAUAUUUAUCUUAGUUGUUUAUUUAAUAAUA